AACGAACGCUGGCGGCAUGCCUAACACAUGCAAGUCGAACGAGACCUUCGGGCCUAGUUGCGCACGGGUGCGUAACGCGUGGUAACCUGCCCUUAGGUUCGGAAUAACUCCCCGAAAGGUGUGCUAAUACCGGUUAAUGUCUUCGGACCAAAGAUGUAUCGCCUUUGGAUGGGCCCGCGUUGGAUUAGCUAGUUGGUAGGGUAAAAGCCUACCAAGGCGACGAUCCAUAGCUGGUCUGAGAGGAUGAUCAUCCACACUGGGACUGAGACACGGCCCAGACUCCUACGGGAGGCAGCAGUAGGGAAUAUUGGACAAUGAGCGAAAGCCUGAUACAGCAGUGCCGCGUGAGUGAUGAAGGCCUUAGGGUUGUAAAGCUCUUUUACACGGGAUGAUAAUGACAGUAACGGGAGAAUAAGCUCCGGCUAACUACGUG
rnacentral:rRNA from 1 species